UAGCGUGGAUGUUUUGUUUUUUGUAAACAACUACAACAGUAGUUGUAGUGUUGUACAACACCAUUCAAUUAUUUGAUAUUUCAAUUGGCAAUUGGUAUUUGGUAUUGGUAACUACAGUCUACAUCUGACCGGUGUAWAUUGUAAAUUACCGUAAUACCGUCUACCAAGUUUUGGCGUUUGGCGUCUGGCGUCUGGUGCCGCCGCACCGGCCUGACGCCUUCCGUUUAAAGUUUUAACCGCCACACCAACAUUCGGCGAGGUGUUAUGACAAAUAUAAUUUGUAUAGAUUAAUAUACAUUAAAUAUUUUUGCCAUGGAGCAACUGACGGUUGACGAAAUUGAACAUGACAUGAAACGGUGGCGGUGGCACGAAGCAUUGCAGUUCAAUAAAUUAAUAUUACAACGAAAAUACCGGGCAUUUUAUUUACCUGGCCCCAUAAGGAUUCAUAGUUGAUGUUGUUGAAUCGAAGAUCAGAAUACAGCGAUUUUAAAAUAUAAUAUCAGAAGCUCUAUACAAUCAAAAGUAGAAUAACUAUUUUAAAAUACAAUGGUGAUCAAAAAAGAAAAAAAGAAAGUUUUACUGAAUAGAAUACACUAAUGGACUCAGGAUGAAAUUUGUCUUUUACGUCAUAGAACAUUAUAAUAUGAAUUUGUAUUUGUGUACAACACUCUGUUCCUAACAAUCAAUAUAGAAGCAACAUUACCAGGUUUUUGUUAAUCUAUGAUCUGAAGUACAAACUACUGAACACUUGAACGAAGUCUGCGCACCAACUUGAGUUUAAACAUUUACUGCUACCUUGUUCAAGGCCAUAAUCACCCAGUAUCAUUCCCUA